rnacentral:rRNA from 1 species
UGCAAGUCGAACGGAAAGGCCUCUUCGGAGGUACUCGAGUGGCGAACGGGUGAGUAACACGUGGGCAAUCUGCCCUGCACUUCGGGAUAAGCCUGGGAAACUGGGUCUAAUACCGGAUAGGACCUCAAGAGCAUGUCUUCUGGUGGAAAGCUUUUGCGGUGUGGGAUGGGCCCGCGGCCUAUCAGCUUGUUGGUGGGGUGACGGCCUACCAAGGCGACGACGGGUAGCCGGCCUGAGAGGGUGUCCGGCCACACUGGGACUGAGAUACGGCCCAGACUCCUACGGGAGGCAGCAGUGGGGAAUAUUGCACAAUGGGCGCAAGCCUGAUGCAGCGACGCCGCGUGGGGGAUGACGGCCUUCGGGUUGUAAACCUCUUUCACCAUCGACGAAGGUCCGGGUUUUCUCGGAUUGACGGUAGGUGGAGAAGAAGCACCGGCCAACUACGUGCCAGCAGCCGCGGUAAUACGUAGGGUGCGAGCGUUGUCCGGAAUUACUGGGCGUAAAGAGCUCGUAGGUGGUUUGUCGCGUUGUUCGUGAAAUCUCACGGCUUAACUGUGAGCGUGCGGGCGAUACGGGCAGACUAGAGUACUGCAGGGGAGACUGGAAUUCCUGGUGUAGCGGUGGAAUGCGCAGAUAUCAGGAGGAACACCGGUGGCGAAGGCGGGUCUCUGGGCAGUAACUGACGCUGAGGAGCGAAAGCGUGGGGAGCGAACAGGAUUAGAUACCCUGGUAGUCCACG